GCCCCUGACAUUCAGCAUCUAUGUUUCAUACUAUAACACGCACCAUUGUAGGUAAUUGUUAUAUCAAAAUAAAAUACCACAAAAAAGUCAAAUAUUGUAAUAAAUAAAAGCAUAAUGUAAUAAUAAUACAGUUGUUUCUUAACAUAAGAAACUUGAACUAACAAUUUGACAUAACAACAAUUGAAAUUUUUUAAUACACGAGUAAAUUUUGAUGAGAACUGUGUUAUUCAAC
rnacentral:lncRNA from 1 species